CAGGGAGUCGCUGGUGACUGGUGUUGUUUACUUGUGGAGGCGAACCCAGCUGAGCGGCGGUGUGUGAAUUAAGACGCUGUGUUAGUUUGUAGGUUAGCAGCUACAAAGUUGGACUGGAAAAGAAACACCAUGGCUGGAAAAUUAGAAUUUCCUGAGAGUUUGCCUCCACCACCAAGUCCACCAUGCACCUUACUCCUUGGACCUACAGAUUUUUCCUUCCCAGUGGAAAAAUGUUCAAGUUUUGAUAGUACCUCAAACUCUUCCUGUGAUACUACCAGUAUGACAAAUUGUAGUAUUAGUUAUACUACCAGCAGACAUGCUAGUGAUCAGUGGUUUUAUAGUUCUAGCAGCACUAGUAGUUCUGUGUCUGGAACAUAUCUUGACUCUUUGAGUUUUGAAGAUUAUGGGCCAAUAAUGAGUAAAAAAGAGCAUGAAAGUCUUUAUCCAUUGAUGGAAAUAAUGGAAGGGAAAGAAGUUGUUACAAUUACCACAUCUAACACAGCUCAUACUAGCAACACACUUUCAGUAUCUGUACCUGCAUCAGUAUCACAGUUUUCUUUACCUUAUAAGGGUAUGCAGAUACUGUCCUCAAGAGAAAUAGAUAAAAGCAGUAGUAUGAAAUGUGUACCACAGACUUCUGAAUACAAUGGAACUUUAAACACAGAAACUAAUUUGGAUGCUACUCUGAUGACACCUGGAGCUUUUUUAUCAGAGUCAUUAUAUUUUCGGUAUAAUGGACACAUUCCAUGUAGCUUCAGUCCUUCAAAUACUCCUGCAAGAGGAACAGAUAUUUAUGAAAAUCCUGAUGUCAGUACAAAAGUGAAUACUUGGAGCUAUAAUAGAGGAGAUUGUUCAAGAGCCACUCCACAAAUGUCCCAAUUAAAUUGUAAAGGUUUAAGUCUAAAAGACAAUUUUAAGCCAUUGGAUGUGUUAUUGACUCCAAAGAGAUUUACACAUUCACAAGAUACAGAAUCUAGCAAUGAAAACACAUCCUGUGGAGCUGAAGUGGAUUUGAUAUCAAAUACAGAUGAUUUUGAACAAGAUUUGAAAUGUAUAGAACAACUGGAAGAAGAAGAUCAAAAAGAGACAGACAGACAAGCAUGUCAAAAGAAUUCUUAUUUGGGACGUCUUCCACCAAUUGGAGUAUUUUGGGACAUAGAAAAUUGUCAGGUACCUAAGGGGUUAUCUGCUACACAUGUUGUUCAAGCUAUUAGAACACGGUUCUUCAGUAAUCAUCGGGAAGUGGAGUUCAUGUGUGUGUGUGACACUUUGAAGGAGAACACAACCAUACUUGAAGAAUUGAAUGAUGCUCAGGUAAAUGUCAUGCAUGUUGGCAGCACUGUAAAGAAUGCUGCUGAUGACAAACUUCUACAAAGUAUGCGUCGCUUUGCUGACAUCCAUGGUCCUGGUGCUACUAUUGUCCUCAUAUCUGGUGAUUCCAACUUUGCUACAGAGCUUUAUGAUUUAAGAUACAGGAAAAAUCUCCAUGUGAUACUUGUACACAAUGCUCAUGCUCAAGAUUCCCUGAAGCUUUCAGCACAUGAAACAGCAUUGUUCACGGAGGUUACGCAACAGCUACCACAGCGUGCUAUGAAAUCAAAGGCCGUGGGUCCAACCAGCCCAGGACCCCAAUUCAUCAUGAGUGUCACUACGGUGACCCCCUACAGGCAAGGAGUCAUCAUUCUCCACCUUAUUACAAGUUUUGUAAAUUGUAGAUGAACAAAAUAAAUUACAAUGGUAUCUAGCAUGCAGGAAUAGAUAAACAUGGGCGUUUAUUUGCUUGUUUAUUAUGUCAUAUGUGUAUUCAUCCGCACAUCCAUACGGGAACUAGGAUUCAACUGCCGUUACGGUCUCAAAAAAUGUGAGUGGCUUUCUACGGAAAGACGUACUGGUAAGAAACUUACCUAAAGGAAUAGAAGAGUCAGCUGUGCGUCGUCGCCUCAAUAUGCUGUCAGCAAACUGUGGGGGUAAAGUUGGACGUGUAUCAGCAAAUUCUGCCACCAUA
rnacentral:misc_RNA from 1 species